UAGAAUGCAGAGGGAAUGAGAUUCACCUGUGGGACUGUCCUUUCUCCCUGAAAAACCACACUGACUGCUCCCACAAAGAGCACGCUGUACUCACCUGUGCAGAUGUUUCAGUGUCCACUACUCCUGCCACAACAUCAGCUUCUCCUCCAGUUUCUCCUCCAGUGCUCUCAACAUCAGUCUCUCCUCCACAAACUCUCUCCGUCCCCCCAGUGCUUGUGAUUGUUCUGGUAGUUGUGCUCUUACUGCUCUUAGUGCCACUGCUUAUACUGAUUCAGCAGAACAGAGUGAUGAGGAGAGCUCUCUCUGACUGGUACACAGGACUACACAGGACUCAUUCUCAGACUGAGCCAGUAUAUGAGGAAAUUUAUCACAG